UACGUAGGGUGCGAGCGUUGUCCGGAAUUAUUGGGCGUAAAGAGCUUGUAGGCGGUUUGUCGCGUCUGCUGUGAAAAUCCGGGGCUCAACCCCGGACUUGCAGUGGGUACGGGCAGGCUAGAGUGUGGUAGGGGAGACUGGAAUUCCUGGUGUAGCGGUGAAAUGCGCAGAUAUCAGGAGGAACACCGAUGGCGAAGGCAGGUCUCUGGGCCACUACUGACGCUGAGAGGCGAAAGCAUGGGGAGCGAACAGG
rnacentral:rRNA from 1 species